UAGGUGACCCUUGUGAACACGCCGCUGUUU
rnacentral:piRNA from 1 species